CAGAUUUUAGCAGCUCCUAGAAGAGUUUUUAGCACACAGCAAAUAUUCAGUGACAUUUUAUAUAUUACAUCAUUCUUAGUGAGAUUUUCUGUUUUUGAGUGCUUCUUGGAGGCCAGGCAGGAAACUUCCUUAUCCUAAUGUGUUAUUUCAUUUAAUUCUCCCACAGCCCUACAUUAGGAGGUCUUCUCAUUCCCAUUGGAGAACUGACACCGCUAAGACUCAGGCUGAGUGCCUUAUCUGGGGUCUUACAGCUGGCAGUUAGGAUGACAGGAUCCAAUCCCCCACCUGACUCGCUGACUCUCUGUGUGCUUUCCUUUAUAUCACAUUUCUGCCCAGCCAGACUCCAUGCCCAUGGGAAGAGGGUUGAAGCCUCAUUAAGUGAAUAAGCAUUACUACAAAACUAUGUUUGAUUUGUAUUGUUGUGGUAGUUUCUGGUGUAUAGCAAAGUGAUUCCAUUACACACACACACACACACACACUCACACAUUCACAUUCUUUUCCAUUAUGGUUUAUCACAGAAUAUUGAAUAUAGUUCCCUGUGUUAUAUAGGACCUUGUUGAAACAAUAGAAAUUUUAAAACCAAAAUGACAGCUCUCUGCUUACCUUCCUCUCUGGUAAACACAGUGAGCAAAACUGUCUCUUCACUUUGCUCAGCUCCCUGGGAGAAAGCCACACACACACACACACACACACACACACACACACACACACUCUGUCUCUCUCACACACACUCAUAAACACACAUACACACCCUCACACACAUAUUCAUGUACAUAGACACGGUUCUUUCUACAAAGAAGAAUCCCAAAGGAAUGUUACUUAUGCUUUUUCAUGGGCUUAUUCCUCUGUAUAUUAGAAUAUGUAUGAACCUUGACUUUUUUUUACUUUGGGAAACCUCAAACCCCAGAAUUCAUUCCCUCUCCACACACAAAAAAAGGCCUUUUACUAAAAUAAAAACAGUUGCUGGUUGUUUCUGCUAUGUUAUGUGGCAGUUGUUGACUGGAUACUGUUAAGGUGGAUGUAUUGUAUUUCAGAACUCAUUUGAGGUAAAUUUUAUUGUUAUGAAGAGAGAUAUAAUUCAAGCCAGGCUCUGGAAAAAUAACAACAGCAACAACAUAGUCAUUUAUGGAGAAUUACGAAACCACAGAGAUGGUACAUGAGGAGGUCUGUGUGCAUUUUUUGUCGUCAGGCUGAAAUCAGGAUGAAAGAAAAGCCCUAUUUUGAGUUUUAGGCAGGAUGUCAAGAAAUUACCUCACAGGUGAAACGGCCACAGAAGAGGCCCUGGCGUUACUUGAGUCCAGUACCAUUUGGAAGGAAUCCAGUCCAGCCUUUGCUUUGUGUCGGAUUCCACUCUAGGGAAUAGCGAUGUCACAGGGAGGUUUUGAGUCACUGGGGAAUAAGGCAUAGUUCCAAGAGUGAUGGAAAGUGCUGUAGGCUUGUUAGAGGAACAAACUCCAUACUGCCCUGCUUGCUUCUGCCUGUGCAGAUGCACCUGUGUGAGCAUGAAGAGGAGAGGACCCCUCCCCAGAAGGAUCUGAUGACAGUUCUGGGUCUUCUUGCCCAGAAAUGGGGAACUCUCAUCUUCUCUCACUCCUUCUUCCACAGGUGUGUACACACAGUGUCCUGGGACACAUGGACUCUUGGAACCCGUCCAUGAACCUCCUGUUAAGGAUUCUUAAGUUUGCAGGGUUCUAGACAAUGCUCUGAAAAUCAUUAUUCUCCUUCAGCCAAGAUGAACUCAAUCCCAGGAUACUGUUUCUGUUUCUUCACCUGUAUUUCUCAACAUCCAUGGAGCAUUUCCCAACAUAAGGGCUUUAAAGGGAUGAAGUUCCACAUACCAUGGAAAUUGAUCGGGUGAUGGGAAGGACCUUCCUUUCUCGGGAUGACUUUAUCUGGAAUCAUUGCCCUCUCCACUGAGGUUUGACGCAUACUUUUUUCUGCAUGGUCCUGAAGGAGCAUAGUCUAACAUGACGUAAACAUAUCCCCCCCAAAAUUCUAUAUGUAAUAACAUAGAUCCCAUGGAUCAAACUUUCCAUCUGUCCUUUUAGCGAUGGGGCCUCAUUAAUAGUUGCAAACCACUGGGAGCUCCAGGAAUAAUGGUGCCAUGAUUUAUGUGAUAAUCCCUGAGUUGCACUUUUAUAGUUAAAACAUCAAGAGCAGGUUGCUGAUUUCUUAAGAGUAACAGUAACUCGCAUGCAGGGACAGUUUUUGGUGUGCCUCAUUUGGAAAGAGGCUGGUGAUAAGAAAAAAGAAAACAAACCCCAACAAACAGAAAAGCUGGCUAAAAUUUCAAUUUGGUAUAAAUUUGAGCCAGUUUUCAAUACCUGUUCACCUUCAUUUUCUCAUCCAAAAAAAGGAAAUCCGAAGUAAUGUUUUUAAAAAUAAGUUUGUUGCAAUAAGUAAAUGAAAAAAAUAACAAAGUGUUUACAUUGGCUUUGGCACAUCUAAGUGCUAAAUAACCAGUAACUGAAAUUGAUGACCAUUUAUUAUUAUCCAGUAGUAGCUGUUGGUGGGUCUCAGACCCCACAGAGUGUGGCCUGGCAGAGUCUAUGUGUCUUGGAAGAUAUUGGUCUUUAGACAGGACUCAGAUAUUACUGAGUUAAUUUGCAAAAUUUAGGGAGUGGGGCCUGGCUAGGAUGAAAUGUGUUUAACCAUGUAGUUUUCCAUUCACCGAGAACCCAGGCAGUUGUUUUCCCAUUCACCACUUAUGAAUGAAGAGAGAAUUCUGUAGCAGAGUCUUUCCAUUUUACUCUCUGAAGUAUUAACGCUUCUCAUAGCCAAGUGAAAAAGAGCGAAAAAUAGCAAGGCAGGCGGGCUUCUCAUCCAUUGCCAAAGCAGCUUGGAUUCCUGGCUGCUAUUAGUUUAUGUUUUAAAUGCAAGGGAGGAGAAUCCUCCAGAUCCUUAAUACAUUAAAAUAUUUUUAACACUUCACCAGUCACUCCAUCACUCUCUUUCAGUAAACUUUUUUUUUUUUUGGGAUAACUCAUUCUCACUCCCAUUUCCUUUCACCUAAAUGUUUUCCUCCUAGAGGAAUUUUCAAUUUCCUUGUUUUCUGUGAAAUGGGAAUAAUUAUAGUAACUAGAGGUACUUCUUAAGGGCGUAGUUGAAAACUGUGUCAUUCAGAAUCCCCUGAAGGAGGAUAAGUCAGGAGAGGGGUAGUGAAAGGAAACUUUUCAUGGAUAUGGGAAGAUUGUGGGGCGGGGCUGAGCAAACUUUUUCUGGAAGGGGCCAAAGAGUCAAUAUUUUCAGCUUUGGGGCCACGUGGCCUCUGUUUCAGCCCCUUGACUCUGCUGUUGGUAUGAAAGCAGCAAUGGACAGCACUUCCAGGAGGGGAGGUGGCCUCCAAUAAAACUUUAUUAACAAAAACAGGCUUUGGGCUGGGUCUGGCUCAUGGGCUUUGGUUCGUCCAUCCCUAGUUUAAGGACAUUUGGGCGAUGGGGUCGUACCGGGUUAGGGGCAAUGCUAUGACUGCCUUUGGCCUGAAAGACAGGAAGGAGGUACCAGAAGCCAGAAGGAGGAGGCGCUGUGGAGCCAGCUUCCCAGAGGGGUGCUGUGGUCCCUGGAUAGAUGCUCUUAUCCAGAAACCACUCCACAAGGAGGGCACUGGGGGACAGAUACCCAGGUCUUGUUUCUCCCCUGUCUUUUGCUUCUCCUUUGGUGUGGCCCCUUUGACUGAAGUCAGCUAGAAGCCAGCAGAACAAGGGAGCCCCCUGGCCAGGCCUGUAAAGGGUGUCCUUGCUGGGAACAGGGUGAAAAAGUGCAGGUGGAGUUAAUGGAAUACGGGAGCCGAAUUCUUAGCGUAGAUUCCCUGGUACCAAGAGCUCUGUAAACACUGUUUUCCUGUUGUUGUUUACUAAUCCUAGUCAUCAUAAACAUCUCCAUCUCUGAUUACAUGUAGGGUUUAUGUGCAUUCUUUCAAUUUAUAAUCUAAAGAGUAAAGGACUAAAGAGAACACGAACGGAAUGUUCCGUAGAGACCUACUCAAUGCAGGAAUUUGUCAUGUAAUAGUUUACAGUCCCCUGGGCCAAGCACGCUCUCCUUUAGACUUUUCCUUCUACAAGGAUGCUUUUGGAAAGACGUGAUACUAAGCUGUCCACUGGGGUUUGAAAGGAGGGAAACCAUGCUUGCCACAAUGAAUGAAUGAAAAUUGACCCUUUAUAGGAGCAAGUACUUCCACUUAAGGAAAGUAUUACUUGAGUCACAUCCCCAAACAUCACAUCACACUUCACCUGAAAGUGAUAAAGGCCAACAAAAUGAAUGUCUUGAUAA
rnacentral:lncRNA from 1 species